AUUGAACGCUGGCGGCAGGCUUAACACAUGCAAGUCGAGCGAGCGGCGGACGGGUGAGUAAUGUCUGGGAAACUGCCUGAUGGAGGGGGAUAACUACUGGAAACGGUAGCUAAUACCGCAUACCAUCAGAUGUGCCCAGAUGGGAUUAGCUAGUAGGUGGGGUAAUGGCUCACAUAGGCGACGAUCCCUAGCUGGUCUGAAAGGAUGACCACCCACACUGGAACUGGAACACGGUCAGAAUCCCUCCGGUAGGCAGCAGUGGGGAAUAUUGCACAAGGGGCGAAAGCCUGAUGCAGCCAUGCGGCGUGUGUAAAGAAGGCCUUCGGGUUGUAAAGUACUUUCAGCGAGGAGGCGUUACCCGCAGAAGAAGCACCGGCUAACUCCGUGCCAGCAGCCGCGGUAAUAC
rnacentral:rRNA from 1 species